rnacentral:rRNA from 1 species
GACGAACGCUGGCGGCGUGCUUAACACAUGCAAGUCGAACGGAAAGGCCCCUUUCGGGGUACUCGGAUGGCGAAGGGGGGCGGAACACGUGCGUGACCUGCCCUUGACUACGGGACAACGUCAGGUAACUGGGGCCAAUACCGGAAAGGAAUCCUAGCUGCAUGGUGGGGGUUGGAUAGUGACAGCGGGUUUGGAUGGACUCGCGGCAUAUCGGCUUGCUGGAGGGGUAGUGGCUUACCGAGGCGGUGUCGGGAAGCCGGGCUGAGGGGGCGACCGGCCGCCUUGAGACUUACGUGCGGCCCCGACUCCUACGGGUGGCAGCUGUGGGAAAGAUUGACCGAUGAGCGGCGCCCUGAUGAAGCAACGCCGCGGGCGGGAAGACGGCCUUCGGGUUGUAAAACGCUUUCAGCAGGAGCGAAGCUUGUGGUGACGGUACCUGCAGAAGAAGCACCGGCUAACUACGUG